CCUGCAGCGGCUAGGGUUCAGGGUGAUUCUUGUCUUCUUUUUUUUUUCUUCUUUCCCUCCUGCAGAGAAUUGGAAGCUAAAGCUACCAAAGAAGUCGAAAGGAAACUAAGCAGGGAUUUAGUGAAAGAAGAGGAAGAACAGUUGAUGGAAGAAAGGAAAAAGAGAAAGGACGACAAGAAAAAGAAGGAAGCUGCUCAAAAGAAGGUAAUGUGUAUUUAAAUAUAAACAUAUAAUUUAAGAAAUGAAAAUUGCUUCACCUAAAGUCUUUUCCAAAAGCUUUUGUUGCAUUGUAUCUGCA
rnacentral:lncRNA from 1 species